rnacentral:rRNA from 1 species
UACGGAGGGGGCUAGCGUUUUUCGGAAUUACUGGGCGUAAAGCGCACGUAGGCGGACCAGAAAGUCAGGGGUGAAAUCCCGGGGCUCAACCCCGGAACUGCCUUUGAAACUUCUGGUCUUGAGGUCGAGAGAGGUGAGUGGAAUUCCGAGUGUAGAGGUGAAAUUCGUAGAUAUUCGGAGGAACACCAGUGGCGAAGGCGGCUCACUGGCUCGAUACUGACGCUGAGGUGCGAAAGCGUGGGGAGCAAACAGG